rnacentral:rRNA from 1 species
AGUCCCGCAACGAGCGCAACCCUCGCCGUUAGUUGAUUUCUCUAACGGGACUGCCGGGCGAAACCCGGAGGAAGGCGGGGAUGACGUCAAGUCAGCAUGGCCCUUAUGUCCUGGGCUACACACACGCUACAAUGGGCGGUACAAUGGGAUGCCAAGGUGCGAGCCUGAGCUAAUCCCCUAAAACCGUCCUCAGUUCGGAUUGCAGGCUGAAACCCGCCUGCAUGAACGCGGAGUUGCUAGUAACCGCAGGUCAGCACACUGCGGUGAAUACGUUCCCGGGUCCUGUACACACCGCCCGUCACGUCAUGGGAGUCGGUAACACCCCAAGCCGGUGGGCUAACCCGCAAGGGAGGCAGCUGUCCAAGGUGGGACCAGCGACCGGGACGAAGUCGUAACAAGGUAGCCGUAGCGGAAGCUGCGGCUGGAUCACCUCCUUU